GAUGGUAGAGAAGGAAGGGUGAUCGGAAGUCCUAUGGGGAUGUGUUCAGGAGCAGGAACUUCAGAGAAAACACUUUUUUUUUUUCUUUUAAGGAAAAUUUCGAACUACAGAAAAGUGAGGGGACUCGCACAACGACCCCAUUACCUGUUCCCGGCCUCCUCCGUCAGCAGCAUGGAGUCCCUCAUGUGUGAGGGGGUUUGAGAUAUGUGCUGCAGGGAAGCGAUGAGCCCCAGCUUCCCUGGGAACCUCCUGUAAGGCCCACAUGGUUCACCAGGGAUUCCGUGACACCAGAUCCUUGGCUGGACCACAGAGCUGCAGCGCCAAGCUCUUGGGGUAAAAUGUGAUUUGACAGGACAGCCGAGAGCUGUGACACAGGACUUUAGUAUUAAGGGGAAACAAAAGUCAUGUUUAAAAAGAAAUCGCCACUUAUUUGUACUAAUCCCUCCAUGACUGGUCUGCUUGGUUCUCAUGUCUGGGGCGGGGCCUUGGGACUUACCCCCUGAUAGGAUCAAGGAGGUGAAUGACUAGUCUGGGAACACCCAGAGAGGGGCAGCUGGGCAGGAAGUCCUCAUUUUCCUCGUUGUGUUCUUCUGUUGUUCUUUUGUUCCUCCGAAGACGAAAAUUCACAGAGCACCUCCUACGUGCCGGGGACUGUGUUCUAAGUCUUGGGUUCGCACGAUCUAGCGCAGGCCAUGAUAAUAAACACUUUUGUGCAUUUGCCCGGACUCCCUUGGAUCCAGACCCAAACUGGCGGCCCUGAUUGGCGCUGAUUAGGUAACUGUGCUCAGACCUCCUGGGAGGAGCUUCUGCCCCAGGCUAUAUCAAUUGGCUGCUGGCCAGCCUAUCUCUUGGCAAACUUUGGGUCAGGUGACUUCUCAUGCUCCAAUCAGCUGUUGAGGCAGUUGUGGAGGUGGGCACAAAAUAGAAGGUCCACACUAGGAGGGCAAUCUUAGUACAAGAGCGUGGCAUAUUGGCUAAGG
rnacentral:lncRNA from 1 species